GUGCUUGCUUUGGCAGCACAUAUACUAAAAUUGGAACAAUAUAGAGAAGAUGAGCAUGGCCCCUGCACAAGGAUGACCCAAAAGGGAGAAUGAGGCAGCACAGCACA